GGGGGCGAGCGUUGUCCGGAAUUAUUGGGCGUAAAGGGCGCGUAGGCGGCCCGGUAAGUCUGCUGUGAAACCCUGGGGCUCAACCCCAGGCGUGCAGUGGAUACUGCCAGGCUAGAGGAUGGUAGAGGCCAGUGGAAUUCCCGGUGUAGCGGUGAAAUGCGCAGAUAUCGGGAGGAACACCAGUAGCGAAGGCGGCUGGCUGGGCCAUUCCUGACGCUGAGGCGCGAAAGCUAGGGGAGCGAACAGGAUUAGAUACCCUGGUAGUCCUAGCCGUAAACGAUGAACACUAGGUGUGAGGGGAGUCGAAUCCCUCCGUGCCGAAGCCAACGCGUUAAGUGUUCCGCCUGGGGAGUACGGCCGCAAGGCUAAAACUCAAAUGAAUUGACGGGG
rnacentral:rRNA from 1 species